rnacentral:rRNA from 1 species
UACGUAGGGUGCAAGCGUUGUCCGGAAUUAUUGGGCGUAAAGAGCUCGUAGGCGGUUCGUCGCGUCGGCUGUGAAAUCCCGCGGCUCAACCGCGGGUCUGCAGUCGAUACGGGCAGGCUAGAGUUCGGUAGGGGAGACUGGAAUUCCAGGUGUAGCGGUGAAAUGCGUAGAUAUCUGGAGGAACACCGGUGGCGAAGGCGGCAUCCUGGACCGACACUGACGCUGAGGAGCGAAAGCGUGGGGAGCGAACGAGGA